GCCGUUAGCUUUGUGUCCUUUAUUUAACCAAGGUGUGAGCCGAUUAAGUUUGGGGCCAAGUUCAUGUUAUUUGUGGAAAGGCAUUUUCUGAGGAAUUCUAAUGGUCCUUGUGGAAUUACUGAUUAUACAAAUGCAAUGUACUGGGCUUGUGGUUUAUGAUAUUUGGGGAUUGUUUUAGAUAGAGAUGGGAAAGCCUGUAAAAUAUUUUAAUGAAUUGUACAUUUUUGUGGUUGUGCUGGCACGAUUUUUAAAUGUGGUCCCAAAUAGACAGUGCUAAAAGUCUGUGUUUGUAAUGUUUUUAUUUAGUUGUUUUUGAGUUUGUAGUGAUUUUUAAGUUGCUGUUUUUCAGAUAUGACAGCAAGAUAAACGAGAAGACACCAAUUAUAGGAGUUCAAAGGUCAAAUUGUACAGGUUGGACAUUUAAGAUUGAGAGACAAAACAGUUUUCAGUGUAUGAUAAUAGAGCAAUAAUAGUUUAUAUAUAUAUAGAAAUGUUUACUUGGUUAUCUGACGAGUGUGUAUGUUGUCUCAUCAGAUAAUUUGUCUGCGUUCGGCAUUGAUGACACAGUUGAGUGUCCAUUAACGCAGCAGGCAAUACAGAGGAUCCUCACAAAGUGGACUUCGCUUGCGCUAUGGGAUAGCUUCCAGCAAAUCCCUCCGGCUAUCCAAAACACUGGCCCCAGCCAAGGCAACUCCACGGAAAACACAUCGAUAAGAUUGACAACUCCGCAACAGCCAAGCUUGGAAGGGGUUCGCAAGGCCACGAAGGAAGGUGGUGGUGUUCAGGAUUCUGGACAGACCCAGGUUGUGCUGAAGAAAGCUCGGGUUGAUCUGGUAGUGCGGGCAAACUGCAAGAACAGCACUGCCCUGGUCAGGCACUCGGUGAAGGAGCGCCAACGCAGGGGGCGAAUCAAGCAUUGCUGCAUCAACAUGAACAGCCUGCUGCCUUCGAACACCAUAAAGAGACCCGAUAUGGCCUCUGUAUUGGAAGCCGCUGUCUCCUACUUGCACCUUGUCCUACCCCUGGUCUCGGCCCAGCACAUGCAGCAGUUUGCUGAUUACCUGCAGAGCAAUAAGAACUACCACCGGGUGACCAAACUGCCAAAGGCACAAAAGGACC